rnacentral:lncRNA from 1 species
GCCUGGUGCAUGGUUGAAGGUCAAACAUUUACUAUCGGCAAGUGCCUUAACAUUUAAUGAAGAUGAUGCCUUUUUAUUUUAUUUUUUUUCCCUAAGAAGAGUCUGAUAAAUAUUUGACGCAAAAUUGACGUGAAGAUUGUCAAUUAGGUUGUAUUCCUUGAGAUCUUUCAUAAUUAUAUUGUGGCAUUUUCUUAUUCUGAUAUGCUUUUAGGGAUUCAGGCAUUAAUCUUGAGGCUAUAGCAUAUUAUAUUUGGUAGGGGACCAUGGCGUCUCGUGUUGUAACUUGUAAUUAUGUGUUGUUAGGGAUUUGUAAGAUUUAUAAAUUGCCUUUUGGGGAAAAUGAAAUUAGCUUUUGAUAGUGGAAAAGUCUCUCCCUCUCUCCUCUUCUUCUCCUUGCUUCUCUAUUUCACUACUCCUUGGACGCUUAGGGUGGCGCCUAGGCAAAAAUCGGCGCUUAGGCAAAAAUCGGCGCCUAGGCAAAAAUAGUUAGGAUGACAAAUGAGCACUGUUCUAAAAAUCGGCCGCCUAGGCCCCGCCUAGGACGCCUAGGAGGGCGCCUAGGCGCUGAGCUCCCCCGACCCUUCCGCCCCGCCGCUUUUUUAGAGACUAGUUGUUUAAAUUUUUAUGUAUUUUAAAGACCUAAAUUUUCAUUUCAUCUUUCUUUAGUAUUAUUUCCACACUUAAAAAAACCGUUGAAACUGCUACUAUUUUGAUGUCAUUUUUUUGUUAUAUUUGAUAUUUGGUCAUUUAUUUAGUAUUUUUAGGUAAAUAUUAAUUGUCUAAAUAUAAAAUACUACUUAAAAAAAAAUUCGCUGGACUCCAAGUGCUAGUACCCUCCUGUCCCGGCCGCCCGCUUUUACUUAUCGCCUAGCGCUUUUUAGAACACUGAAAUAGAGCAUACAUAAUGUUGACACGGUAAAUUGUGACCAAUUUGUGGUAGGUAUCUGAUGUAGAGCCUUGUGUGGUAGAACCUCAGCAUAUGAUGUACCCCACAAAGCACAUGUAAUUGGUUCGCUUAAGGUGUCACAUGAAACAUACGAGGGUGGGAGACGUCCAACUCACCUGAGGUCCCCUCCGUUGUUCGACAGGUAGGAGGCAGGUGCCUCCUCUGCAGCCCAAUGAUAGGAUCUGAUGGUUUCUAUCAUAGUUGUUGCAGAGGUUGGCAUGGUAGUCUUAUCAUGUUGUCUGGUGGUAGGGAAAAAAACACGUUCCAAAAUCUCAGUUGCCUUCAGUGGCGCCCCCCUCUCUAUCAAUGGCUAGUUAAGGUUAGCUGCCCUCGUAGAGGGGAGCCCAGCCUCCUUGACAGACCCCUCGCUCUAGGAUACAUUGGUGACAUUGGAGAUGUCUAAAAUGCUGGGGAAUGAGGAACAGCAUGGAGCCAAGUGGCUCGCUCCCUAGGUAGCAGGAAUCAAGGCCCCAUAUAGAAGACUAGGUGAAUCCCACCAGACCGCGGAUCUACCUGGGUUGGGUUGCCAAAGUUUUCCAGUAAUCUAAAUUACUAAAAUUAGAUUUUCAAAGUAUUAUAUAAUGUUUGCCCAUAAAACCCCACACAUGGCCUAAAAUAGGAACGCUUUUUGAGCCUUGUAUGUGUAGGAAGCCAAGGUAAAGCUCAGAGGAAAGGAUUGUGAACUCCCACGGACUAUCAGACUAGUUACUAUAAUACUUAGCUAUAUAUCGUUCUACUGAUAAUUGUUCAUGUCCACAGGAACUACGCCGUUAAAAAAAAUAUAUAUAUAUAUAUAUAUUUUUUAGGUGUAUUCGUUAGAAUUUUAUAAUCUAAAAACCAGAUAAGAUAUAGACGUCAGAUAAGAGAUACAUUGCAUGCAUAUAUGAAGAGAUAUAUUGUUACAAAAUGGAGAAUAAAUUAGAAACAAUAAUGAUUUUGAAAAAUUGUUUCUAGUUUGGGAGAAAUGAGGAGGAAAGAAAUGAGUGUUUUAGUUUGUUUUUUUUUUCACUAAAAAAUGAUUCAAUGGGUAAAAGAUAUGCUCAGGUUUAGAGGGUUUUUGGCAAUUGGAUCACAACCUAUGUGGGUUUCACAUAUUUGAGAAGAAGGGAAUGAUAUUUUUUGGAGAAAAAAAUAGUCUCAAGUGAAUUUCAGCCAGCCAAAUGGAUUUCAACCAUAAAUAGUGGGGAGAUAGUUUGGAAGAUUCAAAAAUAUUUGUGUAUUAAAUAAUAAAUUUUUUUGGCUUUUAUUAUAAAUUUAUUUAAAUAUUUAUUUUUACUCAAAUAUUUUUAUUACGAUCAUUGUAUAAAUUAAUUUUAAUAAAUAUUAAAAAAAUACAAUUAAAGAAAAUGGACAUAUGAAAAUCACUUCCCUUUCUAUUUGGAAUAAUUUUUUAUCUGUUUUAUUUUUUACCUUUUAUUGUUUUUAGUGAAUUUUUUUCAACCAUUAAUUAAUAUUUUCUACUAUUUCAGUUUCUCUUGAUAAAAAUAAUCUAUAAGUAUAAAAAAAAAUCUAAUUUAAGAGAAAAUUCACUAAAAAAAAUUUGUCUCCAAAUUAAAUAAUUUUUUUUUUUAUAUUUUUAGAUUAUUCUCGUCAAAAGAACUAAUAAUUUAAAAAUAAAAGUUUGGAGCAAAUAACAAUCAGAUCUUUUGCAUGAAUCAACUUGGCAAGCCCUACAAGAUGACACUUUCGAGCAGGUAGAUGGGCUUCAUGGCAUUUUUCACAAGGCUUCUCAGGCAAGAUGGUUUUGGAAACGCUACCCCUAACUUGGAUGGUGAAAAUCAUGCAUUGUACUUGUCCUUCAACCGUAUGAUGUAUUUCGGAAACGAUAUCAGGGCCAUCGUCUUUCUAAGCUGUAUUUCUGGCUUAUGAGAUUUCCCCCUCACUGUGUUGCGAAUAAAGCAAAAGGCAUACGGAGAGAGAACGAUAUUGCCUCUCCAUAUUCAACUUGUGAUCGGUAUACUAAAUUUAUGUAAUAAACGUUCACUAUUCUGGAGACAAAUAUAGUCCCCUCCUAGGCCAGUCGUAACAUUUUUUGAUUCACAAGAAUACAUGAUCAAUCCUUUCAAUCACCUGCACAUUCUUCAAAUCCAAUACAAUGAAAACCGAAAGCACCCGUUGUGCAACCAUCAAGCCUCUAAUUCAAGAGUUUCAACUAAAUGACUCUGUUCAGCCUACUCGGGGGUGAUUAAUUAUUUAACACGACAGCCUGGAUCAGGCAAUCACAACAAAUCAAAGGUAUUUUUACCUCAUUCGAAUAAUCAUAAGAUACAGCUAAAAAAGAGAGACCACCACCUCCUGGUCCUGUUUUCGCCUUUGGCUCGGUGGCCAGGAGUCAGAACAGUAUCCACUAGAUGGAUAGAUGUUUUGUCUUACGCCCCAAAUAAGCACGAUUGGAUCCACUCCGAUAAUCUAUUUGUUCAUUGUGUAUGAUCUUCUAUCUACAUUAUUCAUAGAAAAAACAGAUUAGUUCGUGAAUUAAGGUAGUCAAAUAAUUUCAUAUCUAUCUUUAAAAAUAAUAAAUGGUGGCUUGAAAUCAGAAGGGGGGUGGGGUUUCUUUCUAUAUCCAAGAAAGAAAAUUUAAGAGAGAAACAUGAACAUAUUCAAAGUAACAAAAAAAAGGUGAAAAUAAUGACAAAGUGGUCAUGAUAAUAUAGUGCAAAGCAAGAACAUGCACAACAUAUAGUAAUCAAGUGCAAAGAAGACAAGAAGAGGCUAGGGGUCCGAAAAAUGAUAUGUAUUUUAACAGGAGAAGGGGGUUGGUUGGUCUAGAAAGGUAAAAGGAAGACUUUGGGUACUGAAACCCCAAACAUAGGAAGUGUGUUAAGUGGUCUCCUAAGCCCCAUUGCUAAUCACCUUCUGUUCUGACUCGGUGAAGGUGGUAGUGAUCGAAGCUCACAAGAAAGACUCAUCUGAGAGAGUCGAGAGAGAGAAAGAGAGUGCUAUCUAUGCAUUUAGCAUAAAUCCAAAGAUAAUGAACAGUGGGAAUCUGAGACAGUACUGCGCUGUACACAUUGUCUGUUGCUAUCUGCUAUGGAUUGAAUUUACUUGACCCUCCUUCCAAAUGCUGACCCCUCUCUCAAUUCUAUAUGUGAUUGUAUUAUGAAUUACAAUUUGCAUACUUACAAGUAUUGUCUGAUUCUCACUUUGGCUCUUAAUGUUUUAAUUGUUUCCAAUUCAGCGCUUCAACUACAGGCCUGUUCUCAAUGUGGUCCAAUUAGUCACGAACAUCAAAAUGGUUGGCGGAAAAUGGGUGCCUUUGUUGGAAGAAUAAACUUGUUUUAGAAGAAUAAACUUGUUUUAGUGUACUGUUUUUUUAUGUUUUAGUGGGGAUUUUGUUACUGGUUAGGCUAAUAAUGGUGUGUUAAUAUCCUAGCAGUGGAUUAGUGGUGAACAUGGAUGUGUAGUGCAGAAAGUGGGUGUUAAUGUGAGAGUGUAAUCCUAUAAAUAGUCAUGUAAUGUAAGUCAUUGUGAGCAUGAGGUAGUAUGAAAUACAUUGACAGACAUAAUUUUAUAUUUCCUCCAAUUAUCUACUUCUAGGAGUGUGUUAGUCUCUUGUCAUAAUAAAGUGGUAUUUAUCACGAAUUUCC